ensembl:lncRNA
CAUGUGAAAUCAGAGCCUGAAAGGAAGUCAGUCAAUUUAAAGCCGCUCCUGAAGGGGAAUAAUUAAACACUCCAAAGAUGUGGGAGAAUUUUAAGCAGUCAGCAAGGAUUUAAAGACAACAUAUCAUUCCUAGCAGGAAUAAUAAUAAUAAAAAAGAGGGAAUGUAGGCAGGCAGGGACUGGGGCUGACUGAAGGCAGCCUCAGUCAGUCAGAGCAGCCUCACCUGGGCAGCCCGGGAGGGAUGGAAGAGCUGCAGGAAGGCUGGGGGACAUGGGCUGCCCCAAAACCAGCGGGGAGAACCUGAGAAGGGUGGGAAAGUGCCUGGAAUAGGGAAAUAGAACGAAUCAGCCUGACCACAUCAUCAGGCACAUCCCUGGAGCAGAGGAAUUUUGCAGGGAAAGAUGAGCCAAAGGUUCCUGUGGAAAGCAGAGUAAAACUGUCACCAUCUCCUGCAUGCCAAAGGAUUUCCAUGGACAGUAUGGGUUAGAGGAAGGUGCCUCUGGGAGCAUUACUCAGUGCAAGAGUCCCACAUCACAACUCCCGGGAAAGAGAGAUCCAAGACUCCAGAGAUAUCCAAAGCCUCACCUCAGCUCCAGGCACCUGGAAAGAAGAACUCCCAGCAAACAAGAUUUAUGUGCACUGAGGAAAUCAAAGCUCUGUGUAAGCUUUUUGCAAGGGACCUGGCUGCUGCCCCGUGGAGAUGCUCAUUAAACGGGCUGGUUUAGUGUGGAAGGAGCUGCAAACGUCUUGGAGGAUGGGAUUGGAGCCCAAAAUAAGCCUGAAAAAGAUUAUUUGUUAUUAAAAUGACACCAUCCAGUGGGAUGAGGGGAGAUGUCCUCCAUGACUGCACUCACUCUGAAGGAAAUGCUGGAUAAUGGGAGCACAGGCAGGAGCUGGAGCCCAUUCCAGCAAACAUCUGCUGACUUCCAAGAGACCUUGAGAACCUGGUGGUCAUAAAGGGGAAAAAAACCUUCAAGAAACAGGCAGGGAAAGCUAAUCAGGCUCCUAAACCUGCCAGCUCCAGUGACAACGUUCCAAGCCAGGCCCAGAAUUUUGUAGGAAUACAAAACACCACGGGCACGAGGCGAGCCAGGAACAGCUGGAGCAGCAGAGCCACCAACAUUAACUCCAGGAUCAAAGGUGGAGCUGCCACAAACCCUUGGAAAGCAGCAGCAGGAGCUGCCAGGCACCUGCAGCCCCCGUGGCACGGCUGGGAACUCAAUCAUCCUGGCAGGAACAGCUUGGGGAGGGCAUCCGGGCACGGCUCGGGCUUGUGGACAUGGAACAUUUGGAUCCAAGGCCUGGAAGGAGCCCCCAGGCACAAUUCCUGUGCCUCUCCUCAGCAGUGCAGCACAUCUGAGCACUCACAGGCCUUUCCUGAGCCAGCCAAAGGCAUUUCUUGCUUGGGGCAGUGAGGUCUGAGCUGGCCUCUGGAUGAGUUUUAGGAAAAGUUAUUCCCUGCUUUUCCUGCUGGGGAGGAGCAGCCACAUCCCUGAGGCUCUGAAGGGCCAGCCUGCAUUUGCCUGGUGAAGAGUGAAUUUUGGUGGGAUCUCAAUUAUUGAUACCUUCCCUCGGCCUGAAAUUGCUGCUCAUGGUUCUGGAGCCACAUCAGCCACGGACCAGCAGGAGCUCUUAAACAGAACUUCUCAUUUUUACUGGGAGAGGAAGUCCCAAAAACCAGGAUGUGAUUGGGCUUUCCUUGGGAUUGCAG